ACAGCCUUUUGAUUGAUUACCAAUUUACCUUCAGCUUGUUACAAGAAGAUGAUCGUCAUCACACUGCCAUAAACUUUAUAGCAAAUCCAGAACAGUCAAAUAAAAAUUUGGAUAUAUCAAUUAAUGCAUCAAACAACUUCAACCUCAAUAUUACAUGGUCUAUUGGUUCAACUGCUGGAACAAUAUCUGGAGAAGAGAUUCCUGUUGUUUCUAAGGCAAAUAUUAAGGAAUACAGAGAUAGCUUUUCUUGUGAAAAAUUCAACUUUCGGAGCAACCCAAACAUUACAUUCUACGUCUAUGUCAGCAAUUUUUCCUGGCCAAUCAAAAUACAGGU